rnacentral:lncRNA from 1 species
CUCUAAGGCAUGUUACUACAUUCAAAGCAUUGUUUUGAUUGAUUACUUGUGAAUUUGUAAGUGGUGGCUUUAAUUAAGUAUGUGCUUGUGUAAAGAUGACUCAAAUCUGUGGGGAUAACAAUCUUUAACAUGUCAUGUGCAUUGGAAAUCCCUGAGGCAAACGUUGGAAGGUUUAGGUUUUGUUUUGGUUAGUUGGUUUCGUUUUGUUUCCUUUCUUUUGUUUGUUUUGCUCGAGGACUAGCAAAAGCUAAGUGUGG